rnacentral:rRNA from 1 species
UAACCUGCCCAAGAGACUGGGAUAACACCUGGAAACAGAUGCUAAUACCGGAUAACAACACUAGACGCAUGUCUAGAGUUUAAAAGAUGGUUCUGCUAUCACUCUUGGAUGGACCUGCGGUGCAUUAGCUAGUUGGUAAGGUAACGGCUUACCAAGGCAAUGAUGCAUAGCCGAGUUGAGAGACUGAUCGGCCACAUUGGGACUGAGACACGGCCCAAAAUCCUACGGGAGGCAGCAG